rnacentral:rRNA from 1 species
UACGGAGGGUGCGAGCGUUGUCCGGAAUCAUUGGGCGUAAAGGGCGCGUAGGUGGCCACUUCAAGCGUGCGGUGAAAGUCGGGGGCUCAACCCCUGAUCGGCCGUGCGAACUGGGGGGCUGGAGCACUGUAGAGGCAGGCGGAAUUCCGGGUGUAGCGGUGGAAUGCGUAGAUAUCAGGAGGAAUACCGGUGGUGUAGACGGCUCUCUGGACCGCCACUGACGCUGAGACACGAAAGCGUGGGUAGCAAACAGG